rnacentral:lncRNA from 1 species
UUUUGCUCUUUUGUGUUUGGGUACUUCUUGAGUGAGGUGUUUUCUUCACGUUAUUGCCUCUAAACACUUCAUGUUGCUUCCUCACAUCUUAUAUUCCCUGCGAAACCAAAUAGCAUUAAUUAAAGCAUUUUAUCGACAACUUACAUUAUAAAACAACAAUAAAGCAUGGACAAUUAUGGUGUAACUAACAACUAUAUAGCCUAUUAUCAAUAACAUAUUCUACAACAUAAACAUAGUAAAUGUUAUAUCCCUCAAACAUAUUCUACGGUAGAUUUCCUAUAAAUUAGGAACUAGUUUUAAAAGUAUCCCAUAUUAAUGCAAUCUCCAACUAAAAACAAACACCAAAAAGUAAGGGACUAUCCUUAUUUAGGGUAACAAAAAGCAAAUCAAUAUAAAAUGCAAUUAAUUAUUUCCUAAACAAUCUCCUUCUCCAAUAUCCUCUUCUCCUUCGACUAUAGGAUAUCCUCGUAUAUUUUUUUCUUUUUGUUCCUAGAAGUGUAACUUUCAGUCAUUUUAUACAAGGUAUAGUAUUGAUGGUAUAUUGGCUUUGACCAAACUCCACUUUUCAAUUAAAAAAAUUCUUUGAUUCCAAUAUGAGUCAAUAUUACCUCAAAUAUGUAUGCACACACAAAUACAGCAUCUAUAUACCUUUUUAUAUUUGGAUAAUGUCCAACACAUAUUAUUUGUACGUUUAGUAUACUUAAUAUACGUCAUCAUUAUUUGUUUUACAUUUGGAGUAAUAUAUAACAUAAUCUAUUUGCAUACGUAUAGUAUACCUAAUAUAUAUUAUUUAUAUUAGCACUAAUAUAUCACAUUUAUUAUUUAUAUUCGUAUACUAUACCAAAUAUAUAUUAAUCCUAUUAGUACACUAUAGCUAUAGUAAUAUAUAUUAUAUUAUCAGUAUAUUAUAUCUAUAGUAUAUAUAUUAGAUAUAUUAUAUGUAUAUAUAUAAUAAACUAUACAUAAAUAUGGUGAUAUAGUAUAUAUGGGACGGCUGAUAUAGUAGAAAAGGGAAAAGGAGGUCCGGGACAUUGGGAUAUAACAAAGUAUUAAUUAAUGGAGAAAUUAGACGAAAAAUUGAUAUAGUAAAUGGUUUUAGGUGAGAGAUAAUCUUGAGAGAGAUAUUCUGAAAAUUUUAAGAGAGAGAUUUUAGGAUAUGAAAAUUUGUAUAUAAUUUAAUUAAAAGGUAAAAUUUUAAAAUAAAUUGUAUUAGAUGUAAUUUUGUAAAAGUAGUUAUAGGGAAUUUAAAUAAGUCUUACAAAGAUUGUAUUCCAUGUAAAUUCCUCGUGAUUUUAAUACCAUAUAUAACAGUCCAGCCCACUAGUCUAGACCCAAAACGAAGUCGGCUGUUAGACAUUUGGAACAACGUUUGGUUGGAUUUGAACAAAAAAGAACUUUUAAACGUGAACUUUAUUUAUAUUAAAGAUUUGUCAAUAAAAAUAGUUAUUUCAUUUAAAAUAUUAACUAGUAUUCCAAGAAUGCCACCCUAAAUCAAGCCCUAGGUGAAGGUGCAUGGCCAUUAAUUUGUGCCCCAUUAAUAGAGGACGAACUAACAAGAGGAAAAUAAAAUAUAUACUGUACUGUAGUAGAGAACUCCAUUACCGGCACGCUAAAAUAUGGAAGUUGUAGUAAUUGUUCUUUGUAAUUUAUUCUCUUGGGGACCCCACCAUUUAUUAUUCUACUAUGGAUGAUUCUAGACGAGCUUGGACUGUAGGGGACACUGUGUAAUCCCUUCAACUUCAACGUACCUAGAUAGCAGCCUAAUGGACUACUCCAUUUCUGUCCGGGCUUUAGCCCCGGUUGCUGAAAUACUCUGCUAAAGAGUGCCAGUAUCGCUAUUUAGCAGGUCAAUCUUCGAUUAAUUUCUUUUUAAUAUCAAUAGUAUGUACUAAUUUGUUUAACAUUUAUUAAGUAUCUAAAACACACGGAAGAAGAAGUACUCUAAUUUCUUUUCUAUUGCCCCUUUCCUUUUUUGCCAGUGAAUCGUAAAAAAGGUAAAAGAAUGAGACUUGGCUUUUGACUAAAUCAGAACCAUGCCCCGAAUUCGUUCAAAAAUAAAUUGGUUUCAUUAAACUUGAAUCCCUAUUUUACUUCUUUGAUACUUUUUUCUUUGUGCUUUUUUUAUAUAUUUAAAAAAUGAAUUAAAUACCAAACCUAAAGCCACACAUCUGAUUAGUAUGGGGAGUCUAAAGACUGAAAUUUCCAACCACCGUCCACUAACUCCGACAGCGCGUUAAUGGAGCCAGGAAAAAUGCCAAAUAUAAUAAGAAAAAUAAAAAAGAUGAAAUGUAGAACAAGGAAAUUCCACCUACCAGUAACUUUCUGAGUUUUUUUUUUCAUUGUCCAACUGCCACUUGCACAUUUGAGGUGUCAAAAAAAUAAAAGAGAGGAGAGAACACACUAUUAAAACCAAAACGAAGAAAAAGAAGUAGAAAGAUAGGAUUAAAAAAUCAUCAUAAAGAACGUUUGGUUUACCUCGAAUUGCAAGUUUUCAAACCGAACAAGUUUGGCAAACACGUGGUUGUGAUGCUAUUUGUCCGAUUCUCCAUCCCCUAACCCCAACCCCACCACCCUCCCUCCCCCAUUAUGACCCUAUUUCCUCUACUCAUCACUUUAUACUCUGUUGAGUCAAAGAAAGAGUAGACAUGACACAUAGUGGAGUCUUGCAGCCUUCGUUCUACCCAUAUUCACACUUUGUAAAAGGGGUUGGAGCGUUCUUGACUUUUCAGGACAAGUAAAAAAGAAGGCAUCUUUAUUUUGUUUUCUUUUGUUGUUGGGGGUUUUAUUUGGAGAUCGAAUUAAAAUUGUUGGGUAAGUGGUUAAUUUAGGUGGGAUUGUGAGAUGGAAAAGAAAAGGUCUUUGCCUGAUUGGCUUCCUGCUGGAUGGAAGGUGGAAUUCAGAAAAGGAAAGAAAGAGAAG